GUUGAUGUGGCGUAGUGGUUUGAGUGUUGAACUGCCGCUCUGGAGACCAGGGUUCUAUUCCCAGCUUCACCA